UCCUGGCUGGCUCAGUCAGAAGAGCAUGAGAUUUUGAUCUUGGGGUUGUGAGUUCGAGCCUCACGUUGGGUA
rnacentral:tRNA from 1 species